GACACUUUGGCCGAGUGGUUAAGGCGAUCGCCUGCUACUUAUGGUAGUUCUUAGCGGUUGGGUUUAUCCCACGUGUGUUCGAAUCACACAGGUGUCG